ACGACCUCAGAUCAGGCGG
rnacentral:rRNA from 1 species